rnacentral:rRNA from 1 species
CAGCAGCCGCGGUAAUACGUAGGUGGCAAGCGUUGUCCGGAAUUAUUGGGCGUAAAGGGCUCGCAGGCGGUUUCUUAAGUCUGAUGUGAAAGCCCCCGGCUCAACCGGGGAGGGUCAUUGGAAACUGGGAAACUUGAGUGCAGAAGAGGAGAGUGGAAUUCCACGUGUAGCGGUGAAAUGCGUAGAGAUGUGGAGGAACACCAGUGGCGAAGGCGACUCUCUGGUCUGUAACUGACGCUGAGGCACGACAGCGUGGGGAGCAAACAGGAUUAGAUACCCCUGUAGUCCCUGUCUCUUAUAC